rnacentral:lncRNA from 1 species
AUGACCCACCAAAUUUCUUCCAAUUAAUGUAGUCCAUUUGUAUUCUAAGCCCACUCCUCAAUAGCCCAGAAAACACACCCAACAACCCAGCAUUUCUAUAAUCUAAAGCUGCCAGCCCAACUAAACCUAACCCUAGUUCCUUUUCUCUAUAGCAGUCACCCUCUCUCGUUCAUCUAUCUCACAUGGCCAUUUUUAGCAAACUCCAAAGCUUUUCAAACCUAAGUGAGGGAUGCUCUACCAUUUUUGUGCAAACCUUGGUAACUCCAUAACGUCUCUCCAACGCUUUCCUCUCUCAUCUCUAUCACAAGAUUUGGUCAAGAAUAAGAGGCCAAAGAACUUUUGAAUAAAUCAGAUUCUUCUACACUUUUCAGAGAUUUGACUCUCAAACGGCUACAAUUCAGAGACUGAAGCCGAACCCGUGACCCCCUUUUCUUUGAUUUUCAAAUCUCGCUCAGAAAUUCGAACCCUAUAUUGAUUUCGCCUAUAAAUACUCCUAAAACCUUCAGCCUAAACCAAGCUUGAGCACAGGUAAAAACCAGGCUUGAAUCACCAAAAAAAAAAAUCGUGCUUCAAUUUACAUUCAAGUUCUAAAUUUCAGUUUAGUAGUGAACAGUAGUGGAUCUGAGACCUCAAAGCCUACAGUUCACUGCCCCAUAAAAGGUCAGUUUUUUUCUUGUCUUUUCAUUAUUAUUUUUCUUUUGCUUUUGCUGUCAAUGUGAUAUUAUUUGUUUCAUAUAGCUAGAAGUUAUGAUUUAAGGUCUCCUAUUUUAUCUAAAGAGAUAGUUCUUAGGUUAUUGUUAUUCUGGUCACAUUUCGGCAAAAAACGUGAUUAAUAAAUAUGCAAUGAAGUGACCAUCUAAUUUUACUUGCUCUAUGUCAGUCUCAAUUAAUUUGAUUCCAUGUUUUAGAUACCAUGUUAUAUAGGAAAGAUUACUGAAGUGGAAUUUCUAUUAAGCGUCGCACUAAUGAAUGUUCUCUUACCUAGACAUGUGUGGUCUAAAUCUUGUUGUUGAUGUUCUGUUAUUUUGUCCAAAACUGCCCGAUGAACCAUGUCCAUAAAGAUUUCUCUUUUUUUCCAUGAAAGAAUUGUAUUUGAACUUUCAUUUUGUGGGAUGCACCCUCUAACUGGUGGUCAUGCUUUAGGAGUUAUAUCACAUAUUUUUAUUUUCGGUUUAGAGAUCCUGCAUUAGGACUUUAAAUUAGAUAACAAUAUGUUUUUUUCACUUUAGCUAUUUCUUAUGAAAGUUUAUGAUGUAGAUGUCCCACUUCUAAUUGUUUUGUUUUCUUUCUUUCUUAGUUUCACAUGAACACCGGAGCGGAAGUGUCCCACUUUGAGACUCGACGACGCUGCAGCACUAUACCUGCAUGGACUCAGCACACUUUUUACGUUCUCACUGCUGAUGUAGUGAUAAAACAACAAAAUUAUCCCGCGUGGGAUGUUGGCGGAGAAGCCAGUCAAUUGUCCUUUUGAUUUCUGCGUUAAUCACAAUGUUGUUUCUUAAUAUGUUAGAAUCUUAAUUGUUAUGUGAUACUAUAUCAAUUCAGUGAGGUGUUUACGUAUGGAUAAUAAUAGAGGUACUCAUCAUAUCACAUAGAACAUAACAUCUAGACAUAAGGAUAUUAAGAAUUUGGUUAGCUUGAUUCAGGUUUGAGGUAUUAGAAUUGAACUGUAAGUGUGCUUAAAAUAUUGACUGUCGUCCUUUUCUUUAAACAACAACAUUGGUUUUUCAACUAUGGAAUUGUUUUCUUAUUUGAACUUUUGGAAUUAGCUUUGUAAAAUGAGCAAAACGUGAGUUUAACCAAAUCUUCUAUUAAGUUAAUCUACUUUUUUACAUGCACGUAGACUUGUAGAACUCUUUAGACAUAACAUUAAGUCUUAGCAUUAAUCAAUUAACUUAAGUCCGGUUG